GGCAGUUACGGCUAGCUAUAGAUGCGAGUCGAACGCACUCUCGUUUAGAUUGAAGGAGCUUGCUCCUGAUUGAUAAACAUUUGAGUGAGUGGCGGACGGGUGAGUAACACGUGGGUAACCUGCCCUAAAGUGGGGGAUAACAUUUGGAAACAGAUGCUAAUACCGCAUAAAACCUAACACCGCAUGGUGUAGGGUUGAAAGAUGGUUUCGGCUAUCACUUUAGGAUGGACCCGCGGUGCAUUAGUUAGUUGGUGAGGUAAAGGCUCACCAAGACCGUGAUGCAUAGCCGACCUGAGAGGGUAAUCGGCCACACUGGGACUGAGACACGGCCCAGACUCCUACGGGAGGCAGCAGUAGGGAAUCUUCCACAAUGGACGAAAGUCUGAUGGAGCAACGCCGCGUGAGUGAAGAAGGUUUUCGGAUCGUAAAACUCUGUUGUUGGAGAAGAAUGUAUCUGAUAGUAACUGAUCAGGUAGUGACGGUAUCCAACCAGAAAGCCACGGCUAACUACGUGCCAGCAGCCGCGGUAAUACGUAGGUGGCAAGCGUUGUCCGGAUUUAUUGGGCGUAAAGCGAGCGCAGGCGGUUUCUUAAGUCUGAUGUGAAAGCCUUCGGCUCAACCGAAGAAGUGCAUCGGAAACUGGGAAACUUGAGUGCAGAAGAGGACAGUGGAACUCCAUGUGUAGCGGUGAAAUGCGUAGAUAUAUGGAAGAACACCAGUGGCGAAGGCGGCUGUCUGGUCUGUAACUGACGCUGAGGCUCGAAAGCAUGGGUAGCAAACAGGAUUAGAUACCCUGGUAGUCCAUGCCGUAAACGAUGAGUGCUAGGUGUUGGAGGGUUUCCGCCCUUCAGUGCCGCAGCUAACGCAUUAAGCACUCCGCCUGGGGAGUACGACCGCAAGGUUGAAACUCAAAGGAAUUGACGGGGGCCCGCACAAGCGGUGGAGCAUGUGGUUUAAUUCGAAGCAACGCGAAGAACCUUACCAGGUCUUGACAUCCUUUGACCACUCUAGAG
rnacentral:rRNA from 2 species